UAAUACGUAGGGAGCAAGCGUUACUCGGAAUUACUGGGCAUAAAGGGAGUGUAGGCGGAGGCGUAAGUCUGAUGUAAAAGCCCUCGGCUCAACCGAGGAAUGCCAUUGGAAACUGCGUUUCUUGAGUAUGGGAGGGGAGAGUGGAACUCUUGGUGGAGCGGUGAAAUGCGUAGAUAUCAAGAGGAACGCCGGUGGCGAAAGCGGCUCUCUGGCCCAUUACUGACGCUGAGGCUCGAAAGCCAGGGUAGCGAACGGGAUUAGAUACCCCGGUAGUCCUGGCCCUAAACGAUGAGCACUAGGUAGGGGCAGCUCUGAUGCUGUCUCUGCUGUAGCUAAUGUGUUAAGUGCUCCGCCUGGGGAGUACGGUCGCAAGGCUG
rnacentral:rRNA from 1 species